rnacentral:rRNA from 1 species
GAGUUUGAUUCUGGCUCAGGAUGAACGCUAGCGAUAGGCUUAACACAUGCAAGUCGAGGGGCAGCAUGAACUUAGCUUGCUAAGUUUGAUGGCGACCGGCGCACGGGUGCGUAACGCGUAUGCAACUUGCCUUACAGAGGGGGAUAACCCGUUGAAAGACGGACUAAUACCGCAUACACUUGCUUGGUUGCAUGAUCGGGCAAGGAAAUAUUUAUAGCUGUAAGAUAGGCAUGCGUCCCAUUAGCUUGUUGGUGAGGUAACGGCUCACCAAGGCAACGAUGGGUAGGGGAACUGAGAGGUUUAUCCCCCACACUGGUACUGAGACACGGACCAGACUCCUACGGGAGGCAGCAGUGAGGAAUAUUGGUCAAUGGGCGAGAGCCUGAACCAGCUAAGUCGCGUGAAGGAAGACUGUCCUAAGGAUUGUAAACUUCUUUUAUACGGGGAUAACGGGCGAUACGCGUAUUGCUAUGAAU